GGAGCCGAAGCCAGAGCCGGAGCCAGAACCUAUGGAGGAGGAUGAGAGUAAGGUGAAGAAGAGGGAGGCACAGAAGGAGAAGGAGGCGGGGAAUGCGGCGUACAAGAAGAAGGAUUUUGAGACGGCGAUUGAACACUAUAGCAAGGCGAUGGAGCUGGAUGAUACUGAUAUCUCCUACCUUACUAAUAGGGCUGCUGUUUAUCUGGAGAUGGGAAAGUAUGAUGAAUGUAUAAAAGAUUGCGACAGAGCUGUUGAUAGGGGCAGGGAACUUCGCUCUGACUUCAAGAUGGUUGCAAGGGCCUUGACUAGAAAAGGAACUGCACUUGCUAAACUUGCUAAAACCUCCAAGGAUUAUGAACCUGCUAUUGAGACUUUUCAGAAAGCUCUUACCGAGCACCGGAACCCUGACACUCUGAAAAGGCUUAAUGAUGCAGAGAGGGCGAAGAAAGAGUUGGAGCAACAAGAGUAUUAUGACCCAAAAUUAGCUGAUGAGGAACGUGAGAAAGGUAAUGAGUUUUUCAAGGAGCAAAAAUACCCUGAAGCAAUAAAACAUUACACUGAAGCACUGAGAAGAAACCCAAAGGAUGCAAGGCUUUACAGCAACAGAGCUGCAUGUUACACUAAGCUGGCUGCUCUGCCUGAGGCACUGAAGGAUGCAGAGAAGUGCAUUGAGCUGGAUCCAUCUUUUGUGAAAGGAUAUGUGAGGAAAGGCACAGCUCAUUUCUUUAUGAAGGAGUAUGACAAAGCUAUUGAAACCUACCAGGAGGGCUUGAAGCUUGACGGGAGCAACCAGGAACUUCUUGAUGGUAUUCAGAAGUGUGUUGGUCAGAUGAAUAGGACUAAUCUUAGUCCCGAAGAGGCGAAAGAGAGACAGGCCAAAGCAAUGCAUGACCCGGAAAUACAGAAUAUCUUGAGAGACCCGAUAAUGAGUCAGGUAUUGAUGGACCUACAGGAGAACUCGAGGUCUGCACAGGAGCAUUUGAAGAAUCCCCAGGUGAUGCAUAAGCUACAAAAGCUCAUUAGUGCUGGGAUAGUCCAAAUGAAAUAAGCACCAAUUGUAUCAUGGGUUGUGAACUAGCUUUUCG
rnacentral:misc_RNA from 1 species